rnacentral:rRNA from 1 species
GUGGGGAAUAUUGGACAAUGGGCGCAAGCCUGAUCCAGCAAUGCCGCGUGAGUGAUGAAGGCCUUAGGGUUGUAAAGCUCUUUCACCGGGGAAGAUAAUGACGGUACCCGGAGAAGAAGCCCCGGCUAACUCCGUGCCAGCAGCCGCGGUAAUACGGAGGGGGCUAGCGUUGUUCGGAAUUACUGGGCGUAAAGCGCGCGUAGGCGGCUUGACAAGUUGGAGGUGAAAGCCCGGAGCUCAACUUCGGAAUUGCCUUCAAGACUGUCUCGCUCGAGGCAGGGAGAGGAGAGCGGAAUACCCAGUGUAGAGGUGAAAUUCGUAGAUAUUGGGUGGAACACCGGUGGCGAAGGCGGCGACCUGGCCAUUUACUGACACUGAGACGCGAAAGCGUGGGGAGCAAACAGGAUUAGAAACCCCUGUAGUCC